rnacentral:lncRNA from 1 species
UAUUCACUGAGAGGAUUUAUCUCAGUAGUAGAAUGUACAUGCAUGCACACAGAUAUUGAAGAAAAUGUUUUUUCAGAUAGGCAUGGUAUCACAUGUCUUUAAUCCCAGUUCUUGGAAUUAGAGGUGGAAAUAUAAUGGACUUCAAGGUGAACUUUUGCCACAUGCAAAUGAGUUUGAGGCCAGCCUACAUGAGACCUGAUCUCAAACAAAAUGUGUUGAGUACCUAUUAAUGCUGUAGACUUUGUGGUAUGUAGUUUCAUAUAUUUAACCCCAGUGGCCCUAUGAUGUAGGUGAUCUUAGUGUUAUUUUUACCUAUAAGGAGGCCAAGUGCUGAAAGAGACAAAAAUAACCCAGAGAAGGUCAUCCUUGAUUCUAAAUUCUUCCUUACACCACACAGCUGUACAGAAGCUUGGGUUUUAGGAUGGUAUCUACCAGGCUCGGGGUAACAUCUGUACUGCUUGUCUGUAUUGUGUCUUGGGUUAUGAGUAUAGAUUUAUAUUGCUAAAUGCUGAAAUAACACUAUACCAAGGCCUAGAAUAUAUAUCUAUAUGUUAUUCUAUACAAUAUAAUACAUAUACACACACACAAAUAUAUGUAUGGCAGCCAUUGUCUACAAUAGUGUCAUCAGUUACUUACCUUGUGUUGUGCAAAAUACCUGAUAAAACAAAGAGGGUUAUUUUGGUUGCCCGUUUCAGGGGAUGGAGUCCGUGGUGGCAGGGUAGGUGUGAUGGCAGGGGCAGGAGGCAGCAGAGCCCACUCACUGUGCAGGAAGCAGUAGUGAGUGCUGCUGUUCAGCUGACUCCCUUUCCCCUUUAUAUCGCCAUCUACCGUCCCUGCCUAGGGAGUGGCACUGUCCACACUUAGGGUGGGGCUGCCCUAACCAGGUCAACUUUAAUUCAGGUAAUGCCUCAUAUAUGCAUGGAGUUGACAGUCAGGAUUAGCCACCACAAAUAAUUAAUAAAAGCUGGGGAUAUAAACCAUAGAUCCUGUUAAAAUAACUUGAUAAUUACCAAAUGGAUUGCCAUCAAAAAUUUAAGUAUCUGAAAGAUGAAAAAAUUUUAAAUCAGUAAUAUUUUGCAGUUCUUCCUUUGUUAUCAGAUGCAAGAGACUGAACUAGAUGGGCCAUGAGCACAUCUAAAACAGUAUAGCAAUAUUUGUAUUAUUAUAUAAAGAGAACAUUAUAUUUAUAUUUAUCUUCCAUAUAAAUGCAUUUCUCAUAUAUAUAUAUGUGUGCAUAUAUAUGUAUGUAUGUAUAUAUAUUAUAAUUCUUUAACUUCUGGUCUAAAUUAAAGUCUUCUGUUAGAUGUUACAACGGGGGGUAGUUUGUUGUAAUAUUAUAGGUCCUUUUGUGCUUUGCCAGUCUUGAAAAACAAUUCAUUUUUUUUUGUCAUUAGUUCAAUGUUUUCCAGCACCCAAAAUAACUUGUAAGGAUUUGAGUGGUAAUGAAACACAUUUUACUGGAAGUGAAGUCGGUUUUCUCAAGCCCAUAUCUUGCCGAAAUGUGUAAGUACAUUACUGAAAAUUAAAAUGUUGUAUCUUGAUUUCAUGGAGUGAAUGAUAAUGAAAUGUUAUGGGAAGUCCUGCAAAUAUAAUAUGUGUCUUCUUGCUAAUGUCAGAUAACCUUCAAUUUAAAUUCAUCAGCCAGAAGCUGGGUUAACUUGUGAGGUAAUAGAGGAUAGAAAUUGACUCAGACCUCAUAAAGGAAGUUGAUAUCACCAAGUGCAUUAUGAAUAAACUUUUUUCAAAAUAUAAAUGCAAAUGGGCGUUUACUUAUUGUUUCAGAAAAGCAGUGUUGUUAAUUGUUUGCCUACUGUGUUAGUUACUUUUCUUACUGCUGUGACAAAAUCCUGUACAAAAGCAACUUCUAAAGAAGGGUUAUUUUCUCCCACAAGUAGAAGGGUCCAGGGCAUCCUAGCAGGGACAGCAUGGUGGAGGAGCUCAAGGCAGCCGCGUCCCUUGUGUUGGUAGUCAGGAGUGGAGAGACAUGAAGGCUGGGCUCAGUUUAUUCUUGCCUUUUGAGUCACUCCAGAACCCUGGCCCAUGGAAUGUGCUGUCCACAUUUAGGGUGGGUUUUCAUACUUAAACCCAGCCUAGACACUCUUCUGUAGACAUGGCCAGAGGCUUGUCUCCUGGGUAAUUCUAUAUCCUGUCAAGUUGAUAGUAUUAACCAUCACACAAUGGUUUCAUUCUCUGUAAAAGAUGAACAGUAACAUGAGGCAGAAUUCAGAAGUGGAUGAGCAUGUGGUAAUAAAGGAAUGGCCUCUAUUUAGAGAGUGUUUUGUUUUUUUCCUAUUGGAAAGCUUGCAUUCAGUUUUUCUGCUGUGAACUAGAGACAUGUCUACUUUUCCUACCUUCUUUCACUUCUGGCAUCUUCUAUAUUAAUUAUAGGACUGUAAGUGGUUGUAUUUUAUUUGAUGGUACAUAUUUACAGUUGUGUUAGGAAAUAAGUAAAAUUUGGAUUUUUCUACAACUUUUUUCAGAAUCCUUAGAAUUAGCAAUGUAAAAAUUGUUGAAAGGAAUUGCUUCCUAGCACUUAGGUAUUGUUUGUUCAAUUUUUAAAUUCUAGGUUGGUACUUCUACCUCAUGCAUCACAAAUGACAGAAAAAAUAAUAUUAUGUUCUGGUACAAGAAAGAUUUCAUGGCCCUUAAUACAACUAAGAAACACAUCUGCUGAAAAUGGCACCUCUCUCAGAUUGCCUGUCACAGUUAUUAUUCUCGCUACUUAGUUUCAAGUUAGUCUGAAUUUUAUUACAGUGUCUCAGGUUAGAUUAAGCUGAGAGAGACUAAGCAUUGCUAAAUAUGGCUAUAACACACUGAUAUCAGUUUUAAUAAUGUGAUCAUUAAGGGAAACAGACACUCUAGCCUACCAGCCAAUUUAUUCCCCUCACAGUAAAAUGAACAGAUUCCAAAUACACCUUUUUGAUGAACAUUGUAUCAGAACUUGAGAUCCAACAGUAGUUUUAAUGUAAGAGCUGCACACCCAGCGUGUCCUAUUGUGCCACAGUUCCUUCAUCAGGAUGCACAGCGUGUGUGCAGCAAAAGGCCAGCUGGGAAUAAGCUCACUGGUGAACUCGUUUUGCUGGGUGUUUCCUUCUCAUUGACGUGGGUUGUUUUUUUUUUUUUCCGUACUCUUGCUGACAUAUUUUUGAAAGUAUAUAAUAUUAAUAUUUAAUUAAAGUUACAUUUCAGUAUUACAGGUAGCUUACUCUGUAAGUCUAGUAACCACAUCUAUUGAUUACUAAGUCACUUAACUAUUUAUACUGGUCAUCUAUGUUAACUGAAGCAGGCUAAAUUGCUGUAAAUUUCAGUAGUUUAGCACAAUAAGAAUUAUUUUUUCGUGAAUGAUGUGAUCUAGUUUGGGUGGCCUUAGAGUUCUGGGUUAUGAUAUGAGCAGGUGCUGGUGGUCCUACACAGCCAUGCAGGACCCAUGGCUUUGGUUCCUCUAGAGUCCUUUCCAUUCACAUAAUAGUUCAGAGAGAGGAGAUGGAACCCUUUGUAAGUAUAUUUAAGGAUGAAUACCAGAAAUAGCAUGUACUUCCACCUUCUCCCCAUUGACCAAAACACAGUUCUAGCUGCACUCAAUUGCGAGGCCAGCUAAGAAAUGUGGUUUAGGUGACUGGAAAAUUAGAAAUGGUUUGGUGAAUGACUAUGAGUCUGCCAUUCCAGGUGGCUCUUCAGCAUGAUUUGUAUACAUAACUAACUAAUUGCUGUAGUGUUUCUUCCCUUUACCCAACAAACUUUUGCAUAAUGGUUUCUACAAUACUUACUCAUCAGCUAUUAGACUUUCUGAGUAGACUCAUUCUGGAAUUUACCAGCAAUACUUGCUUCUCUAUCAAAUGUUAUUUAUACACCGUAGUAAAGUCACUCUACAACAUUGGCAGUUUCCUUCUUUAAAAUGCCUUUGCUCUGAUACUGUCUCAGUGAAUGGCACCUGUUUUUUAAGGCAUUGUUUAGUACUUGGUGGGCAGAGGCAGGAGGAUCAUAAGUUCAAGGCUAGCCUGUACUAUGUGGUACGACCCUAUCUCAAAGAAACAUAAGACAGAGAAGCCAAUCAGAAGCUUUGGAGUCAUUCUCUCCAUUUCCUUUAAUCUCCACUGUAAGUCUGUUGCUUCUGCUUUCUUAGUGUCUGCUGAGUUCUUCACUUUCUUCUCCUGGCCUCAUACCUGCCGUGUAGCCAGAGUUGACCUUGCAAUCUUGAUCCCCUUGCUUCCAUCUUCAAAUGCUGAGAUUAUAGCCACAGACCCUCAAUCUCAGGACACUAAGGAUUUCCUGUAUGCUUGUAACUUAACUGUUUAAUUUGUGUCUCCAUCCUAGACUUAAAAAUAAAUCUACACUUGUAUGUUCAGCUGAUUUUUAUUCGGCGCUGUUGGGGAUCUCAUAGAUAGCGCAAAUUCACAUGUCCAAACUAAAUUUGAUUUCCUUUUCAAGAACCAUCUACCUGCCUUUUUCCCUUCAACUUUCUUCACCUUUCUAAUGCUUAUGAUAAAAUCUGGAGUACUAUUAUUGCUUCUUUCCUUCUUUUUUUUCAUACCCUAAAUUUAAAAUAUCAGGAAAUUGUACAUACGUUCAACAUAUCCAGAACCUGAUGACUCUCAGCACGUCUUUUGCUGUUACUCACACAAGCCGUUAUUAUUUCUCACCUGAGCGUUGGAAAGUAUUAAAACACUUUGUCGUCAUACUCACUCUUGAAUGUGUUACAGGACAGUGUAUAUUUCACAUUCCACUGUUUUGGGGCUUGCCUCUGUUGCUUAAUUUGGCUUAAGGGUAAUGGGUGGCAGACAUAAAGAGGCUUAAGUGUGUUUGUGAAAUCAGCUUUUCUUUUGCAUUUUGAUGAGAGUCC